rnacentral:lncRNA from 1 species
GUUUUCAAGGCCUUAAAAAUAUAAUAUUUAAUUUAAAAGUAAGUGAUGACCUUUUAGGUCAUCACAACGAAGGAAAACUAGUUAUAGUAAAUAUAUUGUUAUUUCUUUCAAAAGAUAGGAAAACUAAAUAUGGUAAGAAAAUCAGCACAAACACCAAUAAUAUUUUCCCUUGGCUUGGAUUUUCUAACAAAAUAAACUUGAUAUAUUUCUUCACAUAAUCUUUAACAGGUCGCAUCUUCAAAUCUGCACCACAAAGUUUGUCUCAACGUGCGUCGCACUCCGGUCAAAUUUCUCAGACAGAAAUCAUGAUUAUCGCAAAAUACGUUGCGGCUAGAACUAAACCUGCAAGAUGAACCUAUCUUGAACCGCGCUCUGAUACCACUUUGGGGAUCGAAAUAAUCUAGGUGUCAUGCGAAAACUAGUCAAACUAACCUUGAACAAUGAUAAAUCAUACAACAAAGGAGAAAUAUAUCAAAAGAGACACAAACAUUUAACGUGGUUCGAUCAAUUGACCUACGUCCAUGACGGAGAUGAGUAAUCCACUAUAUAAAAAGGAGUACAAAAUAUCGAGAGGACAACAUCACGAAGAGGCAAACACAAGUGACACGUUAAUACUUGUCCCAUAAAGUUCUCCCCCUAAACACGACUCUCAAAUCACAUAUGGUUACAUUGUGGAUACUAUUGAAUGAGAAGUAAGGAUCCUCAAUUUAUACAAGUCCAAACCUUUUCCUACAAGAAAAACAACAACAACAACAACUACCCAGUAUAGUCCCACAAAGUGGGGUCUGGAAGAGAAUUUUCCUACAAGAAAAAAGACUAGCCAAAUAUGAGAGAUUUAUAAUUUUCUUCAAAAAGAAGAAAAAUUCAAUUAUAGUAAAUAUGUUAUCAUUUUCUUCAACUUAUAGGAAAAUCAAAUAUGGUACGAAAAUCAGGACAACACCUAAUAAUUUUCUCCAUUGGCCUAAAUUUUCUAACGAAAUUAACUUGAUCCACCUUCUUCACAUAAUCAUCAACAGUCCGCAUCUCCAAAUCUCCUCUAUAAAGUUUGUCUCAACGUGCACAAUACUCUGAUCAAAUUUUUCAGAUAGAAAUCAUGAUUAUCGUAAAAUACAUUGCGACUAGAACUAAAACUGCCAAGAGAUUAAACCUCCGACUUCUCGCUUAAAAUGAUGUAACUAAACUUAUUGAGCUGCCAUAUAUUGAAAAUAGAGUACUGAGAACUAAUUUUAUAAAACCAUGUUGGAACGUGAAGUUAGGCAUUUGUUCAUUACCUUAAAUGUCGACAUCACAUACGACUAAAAAUUAUCCGUAUGCCAUAUACCCACUUAUAAUUUGAAUAGAACAAAAUAGUUAUACAUCCAUUUCAUAUGUUCAAUUUACAAAUAUUAAAGGAUCAUAUAAUUGAAUAUCAUAUGUAAUAGACUACCGACCAAAAAAAAUUUCUAUCAAAAUAUUGUAACAGAAGCAGGUGGAAUGACUUUCACCAAAAAUUGUCAAUGUAUACGAGACAAAAAGUGAAAUGAGUAAAGGAGGAAUCGGAGUGAGGAAUGGAGAGGAACGCUCUCGACGCACAUUAGCAGCUCAAUAGAACAGUUCCAAAUCCGGCGCACAAUAGCACGGCGUAAUUGUCGCCGGAAAUGGCCAAAAAGAGAAGAAAUGGUGCUCCGACGACUACUGCUGUUCCUCCCAAGUUUGUUACACAUGCGCAUGGCGUUACUACUACUCUCGAACCCUUAGCAUUUGGCAACUUUCUUCCUCAAAAGUACCAAUCGAAGGAAAAUUCACAUGCAGAAGCAGUUA